GGCAUGUUGCCAGAGUGGUUAAUGGGUGAGACUUGAAAUCUCAUGGCUUCGGUCGCGUAGGUUCAAAUCCUGCACAUGUCG
rnacentral:tRNA from 1 species